CCUCUUGUGGAGACACGUGGAAGCACUUUAGCACGCUGCUGUAGGUUCAUAGCUUCCCUCCAAACAACACAAACAUUCGAGAAUGUCUCUUCAGGUUUGCAUCUACAGAUCCAGUUGGAGAUGUAUCAGUUGGACUAGCUUUGAAGCAGUCCAAAGUUUCCCCCUCCCAGCGUCUCAGACAGGGACUGAAGGCAUGCAGCAUCCGUUCUGAAACACCCACACCAUCCGCAGUAAUACACUCAUUAGUGUCAGAGCUUCAGCGGGAAUCAUGAGACCUGAAAAGCAGACGCGUUCACAUUGUUCUGACUGACAGCACAGCAACAAAACAAUCCACCAGUUACGAUUCACUGUCACAUUGUUCUGAAAGUAGAACCAGAAUAGUUAAGUGUUGUGUUGACAGUCUGAGACUGGAGUGAUCCGAUCAUUAUCAACCUGUGCAAAAUUAAAUAUAAAAAUUAGGUUAUCAUUUUCUCCUAAAAUUAUGUCCUCGUGUUUGAAAUAUUUCUUCUGAAGCCAUUUCAUAGCAUGUUUUAUUGACCUAAACAUAGCCUUCCCUUCAGUAAUAAAACAUGGAGCAAAUUAAUAGGUAAACUAUUGCUUUAAUCAUUGCUUUAAAAUUCUGUGUAAAUCUAUAGAGCAUUAUUAUUGUGAGAUGAGGAAUAUCAUCAUCACAACUGCUAUGAAUGGCAUUAGUUUGGGGUUGGUACGAUUUUGAACGUCUUUUAUGCUCUCCAAAGCUGCAUUUAUUUGAUCACAAAAUACAGUAAAAGCUGUAAUGUUGUGUAAUAUUAUUGCAAUUUAAAAUAAGUGUUUUCUAUUUGAAUAUAUUAUACAAUGUAAUUUAUUCCUGUGAUGCAAAGCUAAUUUUUCAGCAUCAUUUCUCCAGUCUUCAGUGUCACACGAUCCUUCGGAAAUUUUUAAUAUGAGAUUUUGCUGCUCAAGAAACAUUUCUUUUCAUAAUAAAUGUUGAAUGCAGUUGUGCUGCUUUAUA